rnacentral:misc_RNA from 1 species
GAUGAAGAAUGUAGCGAAAUGCGAUAAGUAAUGUGAAUUGCAGAAUUCAGUGAAUCAUCGAAUCUUUGAACGCACAUUGCGCCCCUUGGUAUUCCGGGGGGCAUGCCUGUUCGAGCGUCAUUACAACCCUCAAGCUCUGCUUGGUCUUGGGCGUCACCGGUCCCCGGUGUGCCUUAAAAUCAGUGGCGGCGCCAUCUGGCUCUAAGCGUAGUACAUACUCUCGCUACAGACGUCCGGUGGAUGCUGGCCAGCAACCCCCAAUUUAUCAAGGUUGACCUCGGAUCAGGUAGGGAUACCCGCUGAACUUAAGCAUAUCAAUAAGCGGAGGA